rnacentral:tRNA from 1 species
GCCACAUUAGCCCAAUCGGUAGAGGCACAAGUUUUAGAUACUUGUCAGUGAGGGUUCGAAUCCCUUGUGUGGUACCA